GAGCUUAUACAGGGUAUAGGUUGUAAGGGCAUCUACUUUACAGGCAGAAGGUUCCAGGUUCAAUCCCUGGCAUCUCCA